GGAAGUCAUACCUUUAUUGUGAAAGUGUCUUUGUUUCCGGUGAAAGUCCUCUCAUUUGCCCAAAUAUCGGACAAACAUGAAAAAGCAGAUCUUCAUUCACGCGAAAGAAAGCUUUGAAAAGAAAGUUUCCUUGCCCCCCGAGGGUUGAACUCUAGCAGCCACUACAGCGACGGGGAUGUUAGAAGGUGUGGAAGUCAGGAGAGUGGCGGGAGGGAUCGAGUGCUGAGCGGGCUGCACUUGACUCUGGAGGAAGAACAGUAAGAACUGGAAGGCCGACCUUUGGGUGUGUGGUGGCACACGGGAGUGGAGUAGCCCCCGGGUGCCGAGUGACGAUGGAGUCCGGACGAGGGCUGCAGGAAGGGGGUGGAGUGUCUUCCGGUCCCCUGGUGUGCCUUAUCAGGGUUGUGUUACGCCGGGUUGCAGUUUGCUGCAAGGUUCGUUCCCUCCGGGAUGCAGACGGACGACUCCGGACGAAAACCGUGAGGUAGGAGCUGAUUUGUUGAUCAUAAAUCGUAGCCAAACACGGAAACAAGCUUAAGGGAAAACAUGCCUAUCGGUAACCACUUUGCUCAAGAAGCAAAAACUCGGGAGUCAAGAACUACAAACCUAACUUGUCGCAUGAAGCAAACAAAGAAGCCAGGCUGACGUACCGGCAAGGGCAGGCUUAAAUAAUGCCUCUGAUUAGUGUUCGAGGGACAGCUGAGCGUCCAGAACACCAAUCAGUAAGUAACCAAUUUAAACAAACUCAAGGGUGCACAACAACGGGAACAAAGGGGAGUCCAAAACCAGCAGAAAAGAACAAAAACAUGAUCCGGGCCACAGAUCAUGACUGGUUGAUUAGUGGAAUUUCUUGCUGUACCAACGGGGUCGGAACCAUCAGUUGUGUUGUGACUGAGAAGGUGUGUCCAAAUGUUUGGCCUGUACUGUAUGUCAUUUUAUGCCAUGAGGUUCAUGUUUUUCUGACCUACCAUUAAUCUCUGAGUAAUUUCACUUUAUUAUGUCACGAUCUCACAUAACACUUAUU